UACAGAGGGGGCAAGCGUUGUUCGGAAUUACUGGGCGUAAAGGGCGCGUAGGCGGCCCGCUAAGUCGAACGUGAAAUCCCCGGGCUCAACCCGGGAACUGCGUCCGAUACUGGUGGGCUCGAAUCCGGGAGAGGGAUGUGGAAUUCCAGGUGUAGCGGUGAAAUGCGUAGAUAUCAGGAGGAACACCGAUGGCGAAGGCAGCUCGCUGGGACGGUACUGACGCUGAGGCGCGAAAGCGUGGGGAGCAAACAGG
rnacentral:rRNA from 1 species